rnacentral:rRNA from 1 species
GACGAACGCUGGCGGCGUGCUUAACACAUGCAAGUCGAACGGAAAGGCCCUGCUUUUGUGGGGUUCUCGAUUGGCGAACGGGUGAGUAACACGUGAGUAACCUGCCCUUAACUGUGUGAUAACUUCAGGAAACUGGGGCUAAUACCGGAGAGGAUCUCCUGCUGCAUGGGGGGGAUUGGAAAAUUUCGGCUGUUGGGGAUGGACUCGCGGCUUAUCAGCUUGUUGGUGGGGUAGUGGCUUACCAAGGCUUUGACGGGUAGCCUGCCUGAGAGGGUGACCGGCCACAUUGGGACUGAGAUACGGCCCAGAAUCCUACAGGAGGCAGCAGUGGGGAAUCUUGCACAAUGGGCGGAAGCCUGAUGCAGCAACGCCGCGUGCGGGAUGACGGCCUUCGGGUUGUAAACCGCUUUCGCAUGUGACGAAGCGUGAGUGACGGUAAUGGGUAAAGAAGCACCGGCUAACUACGUG